rnacentral:antisense_RNA from 1 species
CUUGAUGCCGCCGAGCCGCAGCGGGCGGUCCUCCGAACGGUUCUGGCCGUACGUGGCGAGGAGCGCCUGGGCCUC